UCGGUAAUCGGGGCUCCAGCGUUGAACGGCGACGGAGACGGGUGUUCGAACCAGAAGCGGUCCCGAGGUCUGCGAGGUCGUCGCCGAAGUCCGCGAGAAGGCCAUCGACCCCUUCCGCAUCUCAGGUGAUGGAACCUAUGCAAUGAAGUGAUCAUUCAAUCCCAGGAGCAGUCGGAAUUGAUCAGGCACGAGAUCUGUGUCUGUUCUCUGUUCGGUCAUCAUUAAGAUAUAAUUCGACGUUAAUCACUAUCAACCCAGACUGUUAAACAAAGAGAAGUGCAUGGUCACCAAUGAGCUAAACAUCGUAAUGAACCUUUACGUCGAAAGCCACUUUCUGUUGGUGAUUUCCUGUUUCAGACUCCUCAUAUUCUUGCAUUGAAUCGCCUUUUGGUGGUGACUCAAGUUGUCUGAAAUUGAUAUUUCAAAUCCGAAGGUGAUCGAUGGGUAGAUUAUCAUUGGUUGAAGUAGCACGAAGAAUCAAAUCAAGUGCUCAUUGACUCAAUCCUGAUAUUGGAACUUGGAAGUGCAUCAGACAUAUUAUUGGAGUGCUAUGCUUGACAAACAAGAUUGAUCCAUCUGAAUCCAUUAUCAGAUGGUAGAUAUCACAAUCAGUUUUUGCUAGUUAUGCUGUUUAUAUUCUAUUCUAACAGUUAUGCUGAAAAUUACAUCCAAGAGUAUCUUUUCAUCUUUUAACUCUUGACUACCCCAGUCUGUUCUAAUUUGUACACCUAAUCGAUAUUUUCUUGUAUUUGAGUCUUUUAAA